AACGCACAUUGCGCCCCUUGGUAUUCCGGGGGGCAUGCCUGUUCGAGCGUCAUUACACCAAUCAAGCACCGCUUGGUAUUAGGCCCUCGUGUCCCCCUCGCGGGGUCGCGUGCCUCAAAACAUUCGGCGAAGUCUCAUCGGCUUUGGGCGUAGUAGAAUCUUCAAAACGUCCUAGGGGCCGGUCGGGUCUUCCGCCGUCAAACCACCAUACUUUUUUACAGGUUGACCUCGGAUCAGGUAGGGAUACCCGCUGAACUUAA
rnacentral:misc_RNA from 1 species